rnacentral:lncRNA from 1 species
CGGGGGCGAAGUUUGGCUCCCGUAGGAGUCCGGACGAAGUCUUCUGCGGUCAAAGUCGGGGGCGAAGUCCGGCUCCCGUAGGAGUCCGGACGAAGUCUACCUGUAAUCAAAGUCGGGGGCAAAGUCCGACUCCCGUAGGAGUCCGGAUGGUGUCUACCUGCAAUCAGAGUCGGGGGCGAAGUCCGGCUCCCAUAGGAGUCCGGACGAAGUCUUCUUGCGGUUGAAAUCGGGGGUGAAGUCCGGCUCCCAUAGGAGUCCGGACGAAGUCUUCUUGCGAU